ACUCUGCCACUUACAAUACCCCGUUGCGUAUUUAAGUCGUUUGCAAAAAAUUCUAUUCAUCGCUCAAUAGGAAUUGUGCUUCAAGGCGGCCCACGCGGUUCAUCCACUGCGAGAGCUUCACCAACGACACGUGCCCUUGGGGGAACAAGUCCCCUAUUGCAGGUCGGCAAUCGAGCAGCAAGCUUAUGCGUCACUUCUAGCCCGGAUU
rnacentral:lncRNA from 1 species